UAGGAUUUUUAAUCAUUUGAUUAAAAUUUGAUUAGGAUUUGUCUAAGAUUUGAAUAGGAUUUUUUAAGCAUUUGAUUAGAAUUUGAUUAGGAUUUGUCUAGGAUUUGAUUAAGAUUUUUUUAAGAUUUGAUUAGGAUUUGUCUAAAAUUUGUCUAAGGUUUGUUUAAGAUUUGUCUAAGAUUUUAUUAGGAUUUGUCUAAGAUUUGUCUAUAGUUUGUUUAGAGUUUGAUUAAGAUUCAAUCAAAAUUUACUUAAGAUUUCUUUGUGUUUCUUUUAUACUUUAUUUAAAAAUUUAAUUGGACUUGAUCAAUAUUUGAUUAUAUUUGUUAAGUUUUAAUUGCAAUUUAUAUAUGAUUUGUUGCAAUUUUCUUUUAUCAUCUAUAGCCAAAUACCGAACAUAUUCUCAAGCAAGAUUUCACAUAAUACAACAAUGUAUUUGUUAGUAAUUAAUAGGUUAAAAAUUUUGUCAACAAAUUAGCCACAUGUUGGACAUUUUGGCUGCUUGUAGUAGGAAUUUGCCAUGUGACAUUCAUAUAAAACUUUUCUUAUAAAUUCAACAUAUGUCUUGCAAAUUAGACAUAUGUCGGAGGUAUUAUAGAACAUUGUCAUGUAGCUCCUAAUUAGAUAGUAUAUAUAGAGGUAA
rnacentral:lncRNA from 1 species